CUUGGCUUCGAGGCCGAUAGUGACGUGCACAGAAUUCUCUGAUCCGAAUGCAGGCCUCAAUCAUCAACUCCUCUGGGACGGUUACCACAAUUCGGAAGAAGGUUGGAUAUUCAAAUGCCUGCAGAAAGAAACAACAUAGGUGAGACACUUAUACUUACUCCGGUUCCCAAUAUGUCGUUACGAUCAUGGAUGAGGAUCCAGCCCAUCCUCCAGCCAGGAACCAACCACCGCUUGGCAAGGCCACCACAGGACAGGAUGGGCACGUCACUGCUGAGAGGUGCCAAAGGAUGAAAAUCACAGCCUGGGAAUAUCUGCAGAUUGAGAGAUAAUAUAAUAUAAUAUAAUGCAAGAUGGAUAAUAUUCAAUCAAAUGUUUGAAGUCAGUACGAUUUUUUUUUUUCAAA